UCCUGCGCAGCCUGCUUCACUGCCGCUGCGAUAAAAAGGCUCCACAUCCACGAGCGCUGUCACACCUCAUUAACCCCGCGUGGACCGUAAACCAGGCGAGCGCGCGGGCAAGCGACACACCCUGCUGGAGCUCCGGGACUCUCCGCCGAGCGGUGGGCGAGGCUGCUGAGCUGAACUCCGCUGGAGCGUUCCGACGGGCCGGGGCCGGAGCCGGAGCGGAGCCGGAGCCGGUGCUCAAGAACCGUGUGCACCUUGCGGCCUCGGAGCCUUGGGGCCUUGGAGCCUCGUCCCGGCGCUCCCUCGCCGUCGGCGCCCGGACGGCUGACGCACGGCGGUUCUUCACUGGCAAGCUUUAUGUUCCUGUACACAUGCUAAAGCUGCCAGCUGAAGAACUGCUCUGGUCAGCCCUGCCCCGGACGAGCCCCGGGAGAGGAAGCGGAUGAGGGGGGGGGGAGGGGGGCUGCUGGGAACGCCACGAGGAAGACGACGCUUCACACUCUCAGGAGUCAGCCUGAACCCUCACCACCUCAGCCUGGAGCGUUUGCCUUCCUGGUGUAUUUCCUCUUCAAAAUAUUUAUUUUAUACUUAAAAAAUGUCUUGUUCUCUCUGGAAAUACCAACAUUUUUGUCUCGUGUGUGUCUGUGUGUGUGUGUUUCCUUCUUACAAUAAAGAACUGACUAUUUUC